rnacentral:rRNA from 1 species
UACGUAGGGUGCGAGCGUUGUCCGGAAUUAUUGGGCGUAAAGAGCUUGUAGGCGGUUUGUCGCGUCUGCUGUGAAAUUUCGGGGCUCAACCCCGAACUUGCAGUGGGUACGGGCAGACUAGAGUGUGGUAGGGGAGACUGGAAUUCCUGGUGUAGCGGUGAAAUGCGCAGAUAUCAGGAGGAACACCGGUGGCGAAGGCGGCUCUCUGGGCCUUACCUGACGCUGAGGAGCGAAAGCUGGGGGAGCGAACAGG